AGUUAGUAUAUACUAAAACGACGGUUUUGGCCCUGCUCUCGACUUCUUCAGAAACCUCGAGAAACUUCAAACUGAGAAAGCUUCUCCCUUCCAUCUCUGCUACGCGAUCUCUGCUUUGCGAUCUCUGCUUCCUCCGUGAUUUCUUCCCUCCUGAUCGACAUCUAUUCGAAUUGAAAACCUUCUGGAGCUCUCUUCCCCAAAUUUCAGCAGCAACUUUGCUCCAGAUCUUUCCAAUUGAAAUUCCUCUCCUUCACAUUUUGCAUAUUGAAUUUCGCAUCAUUAUCAUCUCCCUAGAACCUAGGAGUUUGGUUCGGUUUCGAGUUUUCCGACGGAAAUCCGGCGACAGCGGCCAUCGAGGUUGGUCUGAAACUAUUCCUCAUCACCACAAGCAUUAUUUCCAGACAAUAGCUAUGGUUUUGAUUGUAGCGGUGACUGAAAAAUUAUUCCGAAACUAACAUUUGAGGAAUUCAAGAUUGAGACGAAUGUCAAAUUUAAAAUGGCAUUAAUCAGGACAGCUGCAAACUCUGAUUUGCGGCCUUUGAAAUGGAGCAGUUACUUCUUGCUUCACUUCAACAGCAUAGUCCAGCUUCUAAAUUCAGUUCUCAGUGAGAUUAUGGUAGGAUUUCGUUUAGAUUCUGCGGCCCAAUGGGAGUCUCUGCUUUGAUAAGAUUGGGGUUGAUGCCAAGAAAGCCAAUAAGCCUACUGUGGACGCCGUAGCCGCCUGGCGCUGUUUUCCAAAAUCCUCUCUCACUUGGCUGCAGAGCUGCCAUCCCUGAAUCAGAAGAUGUUCAGAAGGAAGAAGAAGAAGAAGAAGAAGAAAGUCGUGGAAUAUCAAAAGCUUUUAGCUUUGUGAAAGUAGGACGACACACCUAUCUUGGCAAUGUCGGGAUGUCUAGGCUUGGUGGAGACGUGGUCUUAUGGAAGAGAUCCUAAACUAUGGCAUCUUCUUCCUCCUCCGCUGCUCCCUCCAUCACAAAUUUUCUUACGAUCAAGCUCGACCGCAACAACUACCCUCUCUGGCAUGCUCAGUUUCUUCCCUUGCUGCGCAGCCGCAACUUACUCUCUUAUGUUACUGGCGAAACUCAAUGCCCCUCUGCCUUUCUUCUUGAUGACAAUGGUAAAUUCACCGACAAAGUCAUUCCAUUAUAUAAUGAAUGGAUCCAGACUGACCAGAUGAUCCUAUCUUGGAUUACGAGUUCUCUUACUCCCAAGGUUCUUGCUACGAUCGUCAACAAAAUUGAUUCGGCCUCUGCUUGGUCGUCAAACCCGAAUUAAUCUAAUUGUGGGGGUUUUGUUUUAUAUCAAUAUAUUGCAACAGAAGUCACACUUUGAAGAGUUCAUGCUGCACAGAAAGAUGAUGAAAUGUUACCCGUUGAGUCUAUCAUUGCUCCAUUGGAGACAGAGCUGAAGCUUACUGCAGGAGUUAUACAGUUGUUAUGCAAUAUGACCCCUUUAAUUUUAUUUUAAA